UCUAAAGUCCUUUUCUCAUAAAACCCUAGCCGUCACUCUUCUUGGAGCGCCUCUACACUUCUCCUUUCAUCAUUCUGGUCGCAUCCUACAAGGUCUCUACUUCAUCUGAUGUGCUUUAUCACUACUCCAUCUUCGAUCUACAUUCACUCUUCGUCUCUCUUCAACAGUGAUGAACAGGUGUUUCACCUGAACUCAGGAGUUGUUGCAGCCUUCGCAAAUCCUCUUUGAUUUAAAUUUACAGGGAAGACAGGAAUACAACAAAAGCUUAGGCAGAUUUUGCUAGAAUUUGAUGAAUGUAUUUAUUGUUGUAUAUUUAGAUUUAAAUAGAGUUUAGCUAUUUUUAGUGGAAUUUUUUGAUGUAAAUAGAAAAAUGAAUCCUAUUUUUAUAUUAAU